AUUGAACGCUGGCGGCAUGCCUUACACAUGCAAGUCGAACGGCAGCGGGGACUUCGGUCCGCCGGCGAGUGGCGAACGGGUGAGUAAUGUAUCGGAACGUACCAUUCAGUGGGGGAUGACUAUCCGAAAGGAUAGCUAAUACCGCAUAUUCUGUGAGCAGGAAAGCAGGGGAUCGCAAGACCUCGCGCUGAUUGAGCGGCCGAUAUCAGAUUAGCUAGUUGGUGAGGUAAAGGCUCACCAAGGCGACGAUCUGUAGCGGGUCUGAGAGGAUGAUCCGCCACACUGGAACUGAGACACGGUCCAGACUCCUACGGGAGGCAGCAGUGGGGAAUUUUGGACAAUGGGGGCAACCCUGAUCCAGCCAUGCCGCGUGAGUGAAGAAGGCCCUCGGGUUGUAAAGCUCUUUCGGCCGGGAAAAAAUCGCAUGGGUUAAUACCCUGUGUGGAUGAUGGUACCGGAAUAAGAAGCACCGGCUAACUACGUGCCAGCAGCCGCGGUAACAC
rnacentral:rRNA from 1 species